UGCCUAAUACAUGCAAGUCGAACGAACUCUGGUAUUGAUUGGUGCUUGCAUCAUGAUUUACAUUUGAGUGAGUGGCGAACUGGUGAGUAACACGUGGGAAACCUGCCCAGAAGCGGGGGAUAACACCUGGAAACAGAUGCUAAUACCGCAUAACAACUUGGACCGCAUGGUCCGAGUUUGAAAGAUGGCUUCGGCUAUCACUUUUGGAUGGUCCCGCGGCGUAUUAGCUAGAUGGUGGGGUAACGGCUCACCAUGGCAAUGAUACGUAGCCGACCUGAGAGGGUAAUCGGCCACAUUGGGACUGAGACACGGCCCAAACUCCUACGGGAGGCAGCAGUAGGGAAUCUUCCACAAUGGACGAAAGUCUGAUGGAGCAACGCCGCGUGAGUGAAGAAGGGUUUCGGCUCGUAAAACUCUGUUGUUAAAGAAGAACAUAUCUGAGAGUAACUGUUCAGGUAUUGACGGUAUUUAACCAGAAAGCCACGGCUAACUACGUGCCAGCAGCCGCGGUAAUACGUAGGUGGCAAGCGUUGUCCGGAUUUAUUGGGCGUAAAGCGAGCGCAGGCGGUUUUUUAAGUCUGAUGUGAAAGCCUUCGGCUCAACCGAAGAAGUGCAUCGGAAACUGGGAAACUUGAGUGCAGAAGAGGACAGUGGAACUCCAUGUGUAGCGGUGAAAUGCGUAGAUAUAUGGAAGAACACCAGUGGCGAAGGCGGCUGUCUGGUCUGUAACUGACGCUGAGGCUCGAAAGUAUGGGUAGCAAACAGGAUUAGAUACCCUGGUAGUCCAUACCGUAAACGAUGAAUGCUAAGUGUUGGAGGGUUUCCGCCCUUCAGUGCUGCAGCUAACGCAUUAAGCAUUCCGCCUGGGGAGUACGGCCGCAAGGCUGAAACUCAAAGGAAUUGACGGGGGCCCGCACAAGCGGUGGAGCAUGUGGUUUAAUUCGAAGCUACGCGAAGAACCUUACCAGGUCUUGACAUACUAUGCAAAUCUAAGAGAUUAGACGUUCCCUUCGGGGACAUGGAUACAGGUGGUGCAUGGUUGUCGUCAGCUCGUGUCGUGAGAUGUUGGGUUAAGUCCCGCAACGAGCGCAACCCUUAUUAUCAGUUGCCAGCAUUAAGUUGGGCACUCUGGUGAGACUGCCGGUGACAAACCGGAGGAAGGUGGGGAUGACGUCAAAUCAUCAUGCCCCUUAUGACCUGGGCUACACACGUGCUACAAUGGAUGGUACAACGAGUUGCGAACUCGCGAGAGUAAGCUAAUCUCUUAAAGCCAUUCUCAGUUCGGAUUGUAGGCUGCAACUCGCCUACAUGAAGUCGGAAUCGCUAGUAAUCGCGGAUCAGCAUGCCGCG
rnacentral:rRNA from 2 species